rnacentral:lncRNA from 1 species
AAUCAUAUAGCUCUGAUGAUGAAAAAUUGCCUAAUUCUUAAGCACUCUGCAGACAUACUAUUCAUUAAAAAUAAAUUCAUCUAACACUGGACUUAAGAAAUUGCAGAAGGUAUCAAGAAACCGCAACUCUUAGAAGCUCUGGUAAGAACUUCUGAACUCCCAAGUCUUUCUCAGGGGGAGCGUUUUUCUAUCUGAUCUGAUAAACUCUAAUCUUUUCAUAUUUCAUCUAUCAUCUGAGUUUGUUU